rnacentral:misc_RNA from 2 species
AAAUCUCAACCUCCUCGGUUUCUUCUGGACGCCGAAGGAGGCUUGGACUUUGGAGGCCUUUGCUGGCGUCUCUCGCCAGCUCCUCUCAAAUGAAUUAGCGGGGUCCUCUUUGCCGAUCCUCGACGUGUGAUAAGAUGUUUCCAUGUCUUGGUUUCUGGCUCUGUCGCCUUUGGGACCCGCUUCUAACCGUCUCAAGUCGAGACAACGUUUGAGCGUGUCUCCCUUCUCGGGAAACACCCUCGAGCCCACGAAC